UNGCUACGGUUUGCCCUAUGAUCUUUGCAUUA
rnacentral:piRNA from 1 species